CGCCUUGGGGGCAGCUACACAUGCAAGUCGAGCGAGACCUUCGGGUCUAGCGGCGGACGGGUGAGUAACGCGUGGGAACGUACCCUUUUCUGCAGGAUAGCCACUGGAAACGGUGAGUAAUACUGCAUACGCCCUUCGGGGGAAAGAUUUAUCGGAGAAGGAUCGGCCCGCGUUAGAUUAGGUAGUUGGUGGGGUAAUGGCCUACCAAGCCUACGAUCUAUAGCUGGUUUGAGAGGAUGAUCAGCCACACUGGGACUGAGACACGGCCCAGACUCCUACGGGAGGCAGCAGUGGGGAAUCUUAGACAAUGGGGGCAACCCUGAUCUAGCCAUGCCGCGUGAGUGAUGAAGGCCUUAGGGUCGUAAAGCUCUUUCGCUGGGGAAGAUAAUGACGGUACCCAGUAAAGAAACCCCGGCUAACUCCGUGCCAGCAGCCGCGGUAAU
rnacentral:rRNA from 1 species